CUUCUUCUUUUUUUUCUUUAUUCAGAUGCACCUGUUACAUUUUUGCCACAACAUAUCAGGCCCAGUUUUAUAUCCAAACAUCUUCUUCUAAACAUUUGAACAUCUGCUAUCAUAUUUGAUCCCCUGCUAGAAGAAUUCUUGGGUCUGAAGAUCACAAGUCUAUGGCUUCAGAAACAGAAAAUAGGACCCAAGUGAUUUGCCAGCUUCCUGCCUGUGGGCCAUUUCCCUGCUCAUUAAUACUUGCAUCACAGACACGAUCUGCUGCUUUGCGGGGCUCUGAAUGCACCCACGUGUGGGCUACACAGUCCAUGCCCUUAUCCUGCCCUUCUACCUGGAACACACCAGCUAGAGCAUGACCACGUGUCCUCAGCCUGACUUUGGCCAUUUCUUGGAGCAAAUUUGAAGAAAAUUUAAGCAUCUAGAAAGAGCUUCUUUCAGUUCCCUGUCCUCAAUAGCAACAUAGAUAUAGAGCUGAUGACAGACACUCUGUGAUCCCUUCAGUGUCACUUAAAGAGGUCUAAAGUGGAAUCAAUGAAGAACAUGGAGAGCACACCCUUGGAGAGUGGGAAGAGGUGGGAAAAGCUGAUGGAGCCCUCCAACCUGCAUCCUUAAAGCUCUCCCCUCAAAUGUUCCCAUGUGUACUCAACACACAGGUGGAGAGGAACUCCCGUGUGAAUGCAUAACCUGGCUGUGUUGACUCCAAAAGCUAAGCACCAAGACAGCACAGCCGGAAGACACUCUUUCCCCAGCUGGAGGCCUCCUGGAAACCAGCUCAUAUUCCUGAAUGUCAUAGUUAGUCAUGUUGGGUACAUUUUCUAAUUCUUAGUUUCUUAAAAGUGCAACAGCUCACACAUCCAUUUCCAGGAGUUCUGCCUCUCGCAAGCACACCCCUGGAGCAUCUCCUCAGGCUAGAAGCUCUUCUGGAAGUCACAUCUCAUUUCAUCACAGAGUAUUUUUACUGUUGGAUUCUAAAAAUGAAGACAAAGUCUGUGGGAAGAGAAAUACUUGAAUCUGUGAAUUUGAGGUUCAUUAAUUUUUAAAUAAAAUUUUACUUUUUAAAAUAUCUUUCA
ensembl:lncRNA